rnacentral:rRNA from 1 species
CUACGGGGCGCUCCAGUGGGGAAUUUUGGACAAUGGGGGCAACCCUGAUCCAGCCAUGCCGCGUGAGUGAAGAAGGCCUUCGGGUUGUAAAGCUCUUUCAGCCGGGAAGAAAUCGCAUGGGCCAAUACCCUGUGCGGAUGACGGUACCGGAAUAAGAAGCACCGGCUAACUACGUGCCAGCAGCCGCGGUAAUACGUAGGGUGCGAGCGUUAAUCGGAAUUACUGGGCGUAAAGCGUGCGCAGGCGGAUGCUUAAGUCAGAUGUGAAAUCCCCGGGCUUAACCUGGGAAUUGCAUUUGAAACUGGGUGUCUAGAGUGCGUCAGAGGGGGGUGGAAUUCCACGUGUAGCAGUGAAAUGCGUAGAUAUGUGGAGGAACACCAAUGGCGAAGGCAACCCCCUGGGAUGACACUGACGCUCAUGCACGAAAGCGUGGGGAGCAAACAGGAUUAGAUACCCUCGUAGUC